rnacentral:misc_RNA from 1 species
AAGUCGUAACAAGGUUUCCGUAGGUGAACCUGCGGAAGGAUCAUUACAGUGUUCCCUGCCCUUCGGGGUAGGAUCGCCACCCUUGAUUAUUUAUGAGUGUUGCUUUGGCGGGGGAGCGCCCGCCAGAGGAUUCUACAAACCUGAUUAUUAGUGUCGUCUGAGUACUAUAUAAUAGUUAAAACUUUCAACAACGGAUCUCUUGGUUCUG